GAUGAACGCUGGCGGCGUGCUUAACACAUGCAAGUCGACCGGAAAGGCUCCUGCUUGCAGGGGUACUCGAGUGGCGAACGGGUGAGUAACACGUGGGUGAUCUGCCCUGCACUUCGGGAUAAGCCUGGGAAACUGGGUCUAAUACCGGAUAGGACCACAUUUUGGAUGGUGUGGUGGAAAGUUUUUCGGUGUGGGAUGAGCUCGCGGCCUAUCAGCUUGUUGGUGGGGUAAUGGCCUACCAAGGCGUCGACGGGUAGCCGGCCUGAGAGGGUGUACGGCCACAUUGGGACUGAGAUACGUCCCAGACUCCUACGGGAGGCAGCAGUGGGGAAUAUUGCACAAUGGGCGCAAGCCUGAUGCAGCGACGCCGCGUGGGGGAUGACGGCCUUCGGGUUGUAAACUCCUUUCGCUAGGGACGAAGCGUUUUUGUGACGGUACCUGGAGAAGAAGCACCGGCUAACUACGUG
rnacentral:rRNA from 1 species